CAACAGUACACACAUAUAAACUGCCGACCUGCAGUACACCACAGCUCCAGAGGUGGCUCCAAAACACCAACAUUAUUUUAUCUAGGGUUAGCUAGUUUAGCACAUGUUAUUAUUAUAUCUAGGGUUAGCUAGGUUAGCACAUGUUAUUAUUAUAUCUAGGGUUAGCUAGGUUAGGGUUAGCUAGGUUAGCACAUGUUAUUUUUAUAUCUAGGGUUAGCUAGGUUAGGGUUAGCACAUGUUAUUAUUAUAUCUAGGGUUAGCUAGGCUAGCUAGGUUAGCACAUGUUAUUAUUAUAUCUAGGGUUAGCUAGGUUAGCACAUGUUAUUAUUAUAUCUAGGGUUAGCUAGGUUAGCACAUGUUAUUAUUAUAUCUAGGGUUAGCUAGGUUAGGGUUAGCUAGGUUAGCACAUGUUAUUUUUAUAUCUAGGGUUAGCUAGGUUAGGGUUAGCACAUGUUAUUAUUAUAUCUAGGGUUAGCUAGGUUAGCGUUAGCACAUGCCAUUAUUAUAUCUAGAGUUAGCUAGGCUAGCUAGGUUAGCACAUGUUAUUAUUAUAUCUAGGGUUAGCGUUAGCACAUGUCAUUAUUAUAUCUAGAGUUAGCUCCUCACAUGUUAUUAUUAUAUCUAGGGUUAGCUAGGUUAGCGUUAGCACAUGCUAUUAUUAUAUCUAGGGUUAGCUAGGUUAGCACAUGUUAUUAUUAUAUCUAGGGUUAGCUAGGUUAGCGUUAGCACAUGCCAUUAUUAUAUCUAGAGUUAGCUAGGCUAGCUAGGUUAGCACAUGUUAUUAUUAUAUCUAGGGUUAGCGUUAGCACAUGUCAUUAUUAUAUCUAGAGUUAGCUCCUCACAUGUUAUUAUUAUAUCUAGGGUUAGCUAGGUUAGCGUUAGCACAUGUCAUUAUUAUAUCUAGAGUUAGCUAGGUUAGCACAUGUUAUUAUUAUAUCUAGGGUUAGCUAGAUUAGCAUAUGUUAUUAUUAUAUCUAGGGUUAGCUAGUUUAGCACAUGUUAUUAUUAUAUCUAGGGUUAGCUAGGUUAACACAUGUUAUUAUUAUAGCUAGGGUUAGCUAGGUUAGGGUUAGCACAUGUUAUUAUUAUAUCUAGGGUUAGCUAGGUUAGGGUUAGCACAUGU